rnacentral:rRNA from 1 species
AACGAACGCUGGCGGCAGGCUUAACACAUGCAAGUCGAACGGGUGUAGCAAUACAUCAGUGGCAGACGGGUGAGUAACACGUGGGAACCUUCCUAGGGGUACGGAACAACUCAGGGAAACUUGAGCUAAUACCGUAUACGUCCGUAAGGAGAAAGAUUCAUCGCCCCUAGACGGGCCCGCGUCGGAUUAGGUAGUUGGUGGGGUAACGGCCUACCAAGCCUACGAUCCGUAGCUGAUCUGAGAGGANGAUCAGCCACACUGGGACUGAGACACGGCCCAGACUCCUACGGGAGGCAGCAGUGGGGAAUCUUGGACAAUGGGCGCAAGCCUGAUCCAGCCAUGCCGCGUGAGUGAAGAAGGCCUUAGGGUUGUAAAGCUCUUUUACCA